rnacentral:rRNA from 1 species
UACAGAGGGUGCGAGCGUUGUCCGGAAUCACUGGGCGUAAAGGGCGCGUAGGCGGCUUGAUAAGGUUGCGGUGAAAGCCCGGGGCUCAACCCCGGGUCGGCCGUGGCAACUGUCGAGCUGGAGCACUGUAGAGGCAGGUGGAAUUCCGGGUGUAGCGGUGGAAUGCGUAGAGAUCCGGAGGAACACCGAAGGCGAAGGCAGUCUCCUGGCAAGUUACUGACGCUCAGGUGCGAAAGCUAGGGGAGCGAACAGG